rnacentral:tRNA from 1 species
CCACACAUGGUAAACCCUUUAAAGA